rnacentral:rRNA from 1 species
GAUGAACGCUGGCGGCGUGCUUAACACAUGCAAGUCGAACGGAAAGGCCGAAGCUUGCUUCGGUACUCGAGUGGCGAACGGGUGAGUAACACGUGGGUGAUCUGCCCUGUACUUCGGGAUAAGCUUGGGGAACUGGGUCUAAUACCGGAUAUGACGAUCUCUUGGAUGGGGUUGUGGAAAGCUUUUGCGGUAUGGGAUGAGCUCGCGGCCUAUCAGCUUGUUGGUGGGGUAAUGGCCUACCAAGGCGUCGACGGGUAGCCGGCCUGAGAGGGUGUACGGCCACAUUGGGACUGAGAUACGGCCCAGACUCCUACGGGAGGCAGCAGUGGGGAAUAUUGCACAAUGGGCGCAAGCCUGAUGCAGCGACGCCGCGUGGGGGAUGACGGCCUUCGGGUUGUAAACUCCUUUCGCAAUCGACGAAGCCUUUUGGUGACGGUAGGUUGAGAAGAAGCACCGGCUAACUACGUG